rnacentral:rRNA from 1 species
ACUCCUACGGGAGGCAGCAGUAGGGAAUCUUCCACAAUGGGCGCAAGCCUGAUGGAGCAACACCGCGUGAGUGAAGAAGGGUUUCGGCUCGUAAAGCUCUGUUGUUAAAGAAGAACACGUAUGAGAGUAACUGUUCAUACGUUGACGGUAUUUAACCAGAAAGUCACGGCUAACUACGUGCCAGCAGCCGCGGUAAUACGUAGGUGGCAAGCGUUAUCCGGAUUUAUUGGGCGUAAAGAGAGUGCAAGCGGUUUUCUAAGUCUGAUGUGAAAGCCUUCGGCUUAACCGGAGAAAUGCAUCGGAAACUGGAUAACUUGAGUGCAGAAGAGGGUAGUGGAACUCCAUGUGUAGCGGUGGAAUGCGUAGAUAUAUGGAAGAACACCAGUGGCGAAGGCGGCUACCUGGUCUGCAACUGACGCUGAGACUCGAAAGCAUGGGUAGCGAACAGGAUUAGAUACCCUGGUAGGAUAGCG